rnacentral:rRNA from 10 species
GCUUACGGCCAUACCACCUUAGGCACGCCCGAUCUCGUCUGAUCUCGGAAGCUAAGCAGAGGGUCGGGCCUGGUUAGUACUUGGAUGGGUGACCGCCUGGGAAUACCAGGUGCUGUAAGCA